rnacentral:tRNA from 1 species
GGAGAGAUGCCGGAAUGGCUGAACAGACUUGUCUCGAAAACCAGAGGGGCAACGUUACCAGGGUUUCAAAUCCCCUCUCUCCGCCA